rnacentral:rRNA from 1 species
GACGAACGCUGGCGGCGUGCCUAAUACAUGCAGGUAGAACGCACAGUUUAUACCGUAGCUUGCUACACCAUAGACUGUGAGUUGCGAACGGGUGAGUAACGCGUAGGUAACCUGCCUGGUAGCGGGUGAUAACUAUUGGAAACGAUAGCUAAUACCGCAUAAUAUUAAUUAUUGCAUGAUAAUUAAUUGAAAUGUGCAAUUGCACCACUACCAGAUGGACCUGCGUUGUAUUAGCUAGUAGGUGAGGUAACGGCUCACCUAGGCGACGAUACAUAGCCGACCUGAGAGGGUGAUCGGCCACACUGGGACUGAGACACGGCCCAGACUCCUACGGGAGGCAGCAGUAGGGAAUCUUCGGCAAUGGACGAAAGUCUGACCGAGCAACGCCGCGUGAGUGAAGAAGGGUUUCGGAUCGUAAAGCUCUGUUGUAAGAGAAGAACGGGUGUGAGAGUGGAAAGUUCACACUGUGACGGUAUCUUACCAGAAAGGGACGGCUAACUACGUG